UUUAAGUUUUCAUUUUCUUAGAUUUGGAUAUUGUCAACGCCACUAUUUACAGGGAACUUGAAAUAUAAGGUGUUUCGUAGAGAUAAGAGCGUGCAGUCCUCAGGAUAGACCAUCUAAUUUUUUUAUUAGUUUAAAAUAGUUGAUGAUAUAAUAUCUCAAGAAAAUGAUAAAAUACUUAAAUUAUCAAGAAAUAAUUUAAUGUAAUAUAUUCUAUUUAGAAAAAAUUGUCAUAAACUUUUGGUUGCUAC
rnacentral:lncRNA from 1 species